GUAGGUGGCAAGCGUUAUCCGGAAUUAUUGGGCGUAAAGCGCGCGCAGGCGGUUUCUUAAGUCUGAUGUGAAAGCCCACGGCUCAACCGUGGAGGGUCAUUGGAAACUGGGGAACUUGAGCGCAGAAGAGAAAACGCGGAAUUCCACGUGUAGCGGUGAAAUGCGUAGAGAUGUGGAGGAACACCAGUGGCGAAGGCGGCUUUUUAGGUCUGUAACUGACGCUGAGGCGCGAAAGCGUGGGGUAGCAAACAGGGAUUAGAUACCCUGGUAGUCCACGCCGUAAACGAUGAGUGCUAAGUGUUAGAGGGUUUCCGCCCCUUUAGUGCUGCAGCUAACGCAUUAAGCACUCCGCCUGGGAUACGGUCGCAAGACUG
rnacentral:rRNA from 1 species